rnacentral:rRNA from 1 species
AUACUAACCAGUGACCGAUAGUGAACCAGUACCGUGAGGGAAAGGUGAAAAGAACCCCGGGAGGGGAGUGAAAGAGAACCUGAAACCGUGUGCCUACAAGUAGUCAGAGCCCGUUAACGGGUAAUGGCGUGCCUUUUGUAGAAUGAACCGGCGAGUUGCGUUAGUCAGCAAGGUUAAGUCAGAAAAGACGGAGCCGUAGCGAAAGCGAGUCUGAAGAGGGCGAGCAGUUGGCUGACGCAGACCCGAAACCAAGUGACCUACCCAUGACCAGGUUGAAGGCGCGGUAAAACGCGCUGGAGGACCGAACCCACGUAAGUUGAAAAUUGCGGGGAUGAGUUGUGGGUAGCGGUGAAAUUCCAAACGAACUUGGAGAUAGCUGGUUCUCUCCGAAAUAGCUUUAGGGCUAGCCUCGCAAAGAGGAUGCUGGAGGUAGAGCUCUGUUUGGACUAGGGGCCCGUCAAGGGUUACUGAAUUCAGAUAAACUGCGAAUUCCAGACAUUUAUGUGCGGGAGUCAGACUGCGAGUGAUAAGAUCCGUAGUCGAAAGGGAAACAGCCCAGAUCACCAGUUAAGGUCCCAAAAUUCAUGCUAAGUGGAAAAGGAUGUGGAGUUGCGCAGACAACUAGGACGUUGGCUCAGAAGCAGCCAUCAUUCAAAGAGUGCGUAAUAGCUCACUAGUCGAGUGACGCCGCGCCGAAAAUUUACCGGGGCUAAGCAUGAUACCGAAACUGUGGAUGUGCGUUUAUGCACGUGGUAGGAGAGCGUUCUAGCGGCGGUGAAGCAUGACCGAGAGGACAUGUGGAGCUUCUAGAAGUGAGAAUGCCGGUAUGAGUAACGAAAGACAGGUGAGAAUCCUGUCCGCCGCAAGAC